rnacentral:misc_RNA from 1 species
UACGGAGGGUACAAGCGUUAAUCGGAUUUAUUGGGCGUAAAGAGCGCGUAGGCGGAGAUGGAAGUCAGACGUGAAAGACCGGAGCUCAACUUCGGGAGCGCAUCUGAAACUCCACCUCUAGAGGAUAGACGGGGAAAACGGAAUUCCACAUGUAGCGGUGAAAUGCGUAGAUAUGUGGAAGAACACCGGUGGCGAAGGCGGUUUUCUAGUUUAUACCUGACGCUGAGGCGCGAAAGCUAGGGGAGCAAACAGG